CGCUGGCGGCGUGCCUAAUCCAUGCAAGUCGAACGAACUCUGGUAUUGAUUGGUGCUUGCAUCAUGAUUUACAUUUAAGUGAGUGGCGAACUGGUGAGUAACACGUGGGAAACCUGCCCAGAAGCGGGGGAUAACACCUGGAAACAGAUGCUAAUACCGCAUAACAACUUGGACCGCAUGGUCCGAGUUUGAAAGAUGGCUUCGGCUAUCACUUUUGGAUGGUCCCGCGGCGUAUUAGCUAGAUGGUGAGGUAACGGCUCACCAUGGCAAUGAUACGUAGCCGACCUGAGAGGGUAAUCGGCCACAUUGGGACUGAGACACGGCCCAAACUCCUACGGGAGGCAGCAGUAGGGAAUCUUCCACAAUGGACGAAAGUCUGAUGGAGCAACGCCGCGUGAGUGAAGAAGGGUUUCGGCUCGUAAAACUCUGUUGUUAAAGAAGAACAUAUCUGAGAGUAACUGUUCAGGUAUUGACGGUAUUUAACCAGAAAGCCACGGCUAACUACGUGCCAGCAGCCGCGGUAAUACGUAGGUGGCAAGCGUUGUCCGGAUUUAUUGGGCGUAAAGCGAGCGCAGGCGGUUUUUUAAGUCUGAUGUGAAAGCCUUCGGCUCAACCGAAGAAGUGCAUCGGAAACUGGGAAACUUGAGUGCAGAAGAGG
rnacentral:rRNA from 2 species